UGCAUUUAUAAAAAGUGUAUGUCAGUCCUGUGAUCAGCAGAAAAUUUCAUUGAAAUGGGGGGUAAUCCUCUUUGAAGUCAUUUUGCAAAAAAUUUGGUUGGCUACCCCUAUAUAACAGGAACAUUUUUAUGUGUCAGGCAUUUCAUUCUGCUAGAAAAAUUACCUCUUUAGCAUGAAAACUCAAUUUUAAGGUAGGAUCAGGGACCAUUUCUUAUAAUGUAAGUCUAUGGAAAUAUCAAUGUGAGUGUCUGACCUAAAGAGAGGGAAAUUGGAACUGCCAUAAUUCAUUUGUUGUACUUUGUCUUCAUUGAUACGCCACGAAAAGCUGAUAUUUUGGAAGAAUGGAUGUAUACAGCCUGUCUAGAUUUCAAAGAAAUGCUGUACAUUGGAUAUACACAUGCCAGGUUUGAAGACUUAUGUAUAACUUGACAGGACCUGAUGUAAGCACAUUGGCCACUUUUGAUGGGUGUUGCAGAAUAUCCGGAAUGCGACAUAGUGGCGCUUGUUAGAAAAAAGGGAACUUCAAAGUUUUAAAUGACUUAAGAGUGGUGAAAAUGCAUCCAUAUAAUUGGUAAUUGUAUAUGCAACUUCAUUUAUUAUUAGAUAUUAGAAUACUAAACAUUUAAUAUUCCCUUUAGGUCAGGGUAACGCAUUGUAACACGGCCAGCGAUUGGCUGAAAAAAAGUGCAGGGAAAACCGUAUGAGUCAAUUUAUA